GGAAGGAAACCAACAGGGAUUGCCUCAGUAGCGGCGAGUGAAGCGGCAAAAGCUCAGAUUUGAAAUCGUGUUUCGGCACGAGUUGUAGAUUGCAGGUUGGAGUCUUUGUGGAAGCGUGUGUCUAAGUCCCUUGGAACAGGGUGCCAUUGAGGGUGAGAGCCCCGUGAGACGCGUGCGGAAGCUGUAAGGCCCUUCUGACGAGUCGAGUUGUUUGGGAAUGCAGCUCUAAGUGGGUGGUAAAUUCCAUCUAAGGCUAAAUAUUGGCGAGAGACCGAUAGCGAACAAGUACUGUGAAGGAAAGAUGAAAAGCACUUUGAAAAGAGAGUGAAACAGCACGUGAAAUUGUUGAAAGGGAAGGGUAUUGGGCUCGACAUGGGAUUUGCGCACCGCUGCUCCUUGUGGGCGGCGCUCUGUGCUUUUCCUGGGCCAGCAUCGGUUUUUGCCGCAGGAGAAGGCGUGCUGGAAUGUGGCUCUUCGGAGUGUUAUAGCCAGUGCGAGAUGCUGCGUGCGGGGACCCGAGGACUGCGACAUCUGUUCUCGGAUGCUGGCACAACGGCGCAAUACCGCCCGUCUUGAAACAUGGACCAAGGAGUCUAACG
rnacentral:rRNA from 1 species